rnacentral:rRNA from 1 species
GCAAGUCGAGGGGCAGCAUAAUGGAUAGCAAUAUCUAUGGUGGCGACCGGCGCACGGGUGCGUAACGCGUAUGCAACCUACCUUUAACAGGGGGAUAACACUGAGAAAUUGGUACUAAUACCCCAUAAUAUCAUAGAAGGCAUCUUUUAUGGUUGAAAAUUCCGAUGGUUAGAGAUGGGCAUGCGUUGUAUUAGCUAGUUGGUGGGGUAACGGCUCACCAAGGCGACGAUACAUAGGGGGACUGAGAGGUUAACCCCCCACACUGGUACUGAGACACGGACCAGACUCCUACGGGAGGCAGCAGUGAGGAAUAUUGGUCAAUGGACGCAAGUCUGAACCAGCCAUGCCGCGUGCAGGAUGACGGCUCUAUGAGUUGUAAACUGCUUUUGUACGAGGGUAAACGCAGAUACGUGUAUCUGUCUGAAAGUAUCGUACGAAUAAGGAUCGGCUAACUCCGUGCCAGCAGCCGCGGUAAUACGGAGGAUUCAAGCGUUAUCCGGAUUUAUUGGGUUUAAAGGGUGCGUAGGCGGUUUGAUAAGUUAGAGGUGAAAUUUCGGGGCUCAACCCUGAACGUGCCUCUAAUACUGUUGAGCUAGAGAGUAGUUGCGGUAGGCGGAAUGUAUGGUGUAGCGGUGAAAUGCUUAGAGAUCAUACAGAACACCGAUUGCGAAGGCAGCUUACCAAACUAUAUCUGACGUUGAGGCACGAAAGCGUGGGGAGCAAACAGGAUUAGAUACCCUGGUAGUCCACGCAAUAAACGAUGAUAACUCGUUGUCGGCGAUACACAGUCGGUGACUAAGCGAAAGCGAUAAGUUAUCCACCUGGGGAGUACGUUCGCAAGAAUGAAACUCAAAGGAAUUGACGGGGGCCCGCACAAGCGGAGGAACAUGUGGUUU